CCUACGGGAGGCAGCAGUGAGGAAUAUUGGUCAAUGGGCGCAAGCCUGAACCAGCCAAGUCGCGUGAGGGAUGACGGUCCUAUGGAUUGUAAACCUCUUUUGUCGGGGAGCAAGGCCCGCCACGUGUGGCGGGAAGGAGAGUACCCGACGAAAAAGCAUCGGCUAACUCCGUGCCCGCGGCCGCGGUAAUACGGAGGAUGCGAGCGUUAUCCGGAUUUAUUGGGUUUAAAGGGCGUGUAGCCGGGCUGACAAGUCAGAUGUGAAAUCCGAGGGCUCAACCCCCGAACUGAAUUUGAAACUGGGAUGCUUGAGUAUGUUUGAGGCAGGCGGAAUGCGUGGUGUAGCGGUGAAAUGCUGAGAUAUCACGCAGAACCCCGAUUGCGAAGGCAGCCUGCCAAGCCAUGACUGACGCUGAUGCACGAAAGCGUGGGGAUCAAACAGGAUUAGAGACCCUAGUAGUC
rnacentral:rRNA from 1 species